ensembl:snRNA U1 U1 spliceosomal RNA
AUAUUUAUCUGGGGAAGAGAUGCCAGAGUUUUCCCAGGGCAAGGCUUACCUGGGUUGUGCUGGCCCCAGUGUGAAAAACUCAGCCCCAUAAUUUGGGAUUGUUGGGGGACAGUGUUUAUGCUGUUUCCUG